UACGGAGGGUCCAAGCGUUAUCCGGAAUCAUUGGGCUUAAAGGGUCCGUAGGCGGUUUAGUAAGUCAGUGGUGAAAGCCCAUCGCUCAACGGUGGAACGGCCAUUGAUACUGCUAAACUUGAAUUAUUAGGAAGUAACUAGAAUAUGUAGUGUAGCGGUGAAAUGCUUAGAUAUUACAUGGAAUACCAAGUGCGAAGGCAGGUUACUACUAAUGGAUUGACGCUGAUGGACGAAAGCGUGGGUAGCGAACAGG
rnacentral:rRNA from 1 species